AUACCUUUCUAGGCCUUUUGGCAAAGAUCAUGUGUAGUAUCUAUUCUUAUUAGUUUAAUAUCUGAUAUGUGGGCCAUUGGUUCACUAUUUAUUAAAUUAAUAAUUUUUGGGGGGAGGGCCCAGUACAAUAGAUUGCUACUGGGGCCUUUAAUGUGUUGCCUUGGUGUUGCACUACUGCCUUGGCUUGGCGCACCCGAA